GCAGUUGGGGAGCGCAGAUCCCGGAGCAGCGCUGGGAGCGUAAGUGCGGGCAGAGCACUGCGCCGUUUGGGAACGCAACUUUGAGGAGACAGUACGGUGGUAGAGAUGAGGUUUCACCAUGUUGGCCAGUCUGGUCUUGAACUCCUGACCUCAAGUGAUCCACCCACUUCAGCCUCUCAGAAGUGCUGGGAUUACAGGCAUGAGCCACCACGCCUGGCCAGUUCUGGAGGCUGGGAAGUCCAAGACCAGUUGGCUCGCAUCUGGUGAGAGCCUUCUUGCUGCAUCAUCCUAUAGUGGAAGUCAUCACAUGGUGGAAGCGCAAAGAGAGGGCCAUACUUGUCCUUUUAUAAUGAACCUACUACUCCUGCAAUAACAGCAUAAUCUAUUCAUGAGGGUGGAACCCUCAUGGCCUAAUCAGCUCUUAAAGGUCCCACCUCUUAAUGUUGUUAUAAUGGCAG
rnacentral:sRNA from 1 species